rnacentral:lncRNA from 1 species
UUCCUUAGCUAAACCCAGUUUUGUUUUUUCUCUUUCUUUGUUCAUUCUUUCUCUCGGACAAAACUCAACCUUGAGGUUCUUCAUCUCACAUGAGAAGCAGCACCUUCGUCUUUUCCUUGCUUUCUUUUCGUUCAGAAACUUCUCCUUCACCAAAUCAUUUUUGGCCUUGCUUCCUUUCAUAGGCUCUGUUAUCUCCUAUCUCUUCCUUGGGUUCUGGCACGGUGGUCGUAGGGAGGAAGGGCUCGAGUUCGUUGAACCAGGCGCGACAAAGGCGUUCUCGUAGCAGUAGGAAUCGCGAAAGUCUCUUGGUUCAGAGCUCACGAUGGGUGGAGUGCAGACAGUGUCGCGGUGACGGGCGAAGGCGGCAGCGACGUGUUGCGAGAGGUACCGGCGCGGUAGCGGAGUGUGUUCCUGAUAUGGAAAUUUUUGGGUUUUUGGAAUUUGAAUACCUCAGGAAUUUUAUGCCUUGGAAUUUGAUUCCUAUAAUUGAGUUUGAAAGGAAGUAUUUUUGGUUUCUUGAUUGUCUCUUUAAUUUGUUUUUUCUUUUUUUACCGUUUUGGAUUCCUUUGUUUCGCGGAUUUGAGGUUUGCUUGUGGUUGUUGGUGACUAGCAGAUGACAUCAAUGGAGAGGGUGGAGGAUGCCACCAUAGGGUCACUGGACUGGUAAGGACUACAAUACCUUCUCAAUGAAAUGUCUGAUUAUAAGACAAAGAAAAUUAAAAAAUAUUAAGCUCUGAUUCUAAAAAUAAAUUAAUAAAGAAAAAGAAAAUUGAAAAUAAUGUUGCCUUUUGAUUAUAUUCAUGUUUUUUUAAAUAUGUAUACAAAACAAAUACAGCCUUUUGAUUAUAUUCAAAUUUUUUAAAUAUUUAAACAAAAUAAAUCUAACUCAACACAUUAAACUUUAGUAAAAGUUGAUAAUGUCACAUUGUCAUGAGUAAUAUUUUUUAAUGUGAUCCACCCAACUUAAAGACGAAGACUAAAUAAGAUCUAAUUGAGAAAACCAUACAUAGAAAUGUUCUAAAUGAUUAAACUUAUUUUAAAUUUAGAUAAAUAAUUUUUUUUAUUAAACUUUGAAAUCUAAUAAAAGAUUUUUAACCAUUCAUUAGAAUUUAGAAUUCAAUAAAAGAAUUUUUAUUUUCUUUAUCGAAAUUUGAUGAAGUGUUUAAAAAAAAUUUCAUCAUAUUUCGAAAUUUAAUAAAAAAUUAGAUUCUUAAUCAAAUUUUGAAAUUUAUUAAAAGAAUAAAAAUUCUGCAUUAAAUUUUCAAAAUUUAAUAAGAUAAAAAGAUCUAUCUAAUUUCGAAAUUUGACGUACAAAAUGUAAGAAAAUUUUUAAAAAUUAAAAAUGCUAGAUGAAAUUAUUCAAGGUGCAGGUUGAAACAACCUAAAUUAAUAACUAACUCCAUUUGUCUCCAUAUGAAAUGAAAUCAUUUGUGGUAAACGAAUUUGGUUUUAGCAAGGCUGAAAAUGGAAUAAUGAUGAAGCUCGAUUUCAGGGCAAAGGUGUUUUCAUUUCGGAUUAUAAAAAAUUAAAUAAAAUAUUCAUUUACCCAUUUUUUUUAUCUAUACAAAAUUUAAAAUAAAAGCUCGAUUCAUUCUAUUCAUUUUGAUGAAAAUUCAAUUUAAUAUAUCAAUGAAUAUAUUUUUUUUCAUGUAUGGUUUCAAAUAAAAAGCUCGAUUCAUUCUAAUCAUUUUGAUAAAAAUUCAAUUCAAUAUAUCUAUAAAUAUUUUUUUUUCAUGGAUUGUUUCAUCCACAUAUAAAGAUAAUUACUUUUGUAAAAACUAAAAUAUUUUAAUUUAUUUCAAAGAAAAUGAAAAACAAAUCUUGAAAAUAUAUUUUCGAAAAUUUCUCAUUAAAUAAAUUUUAUUUAAUUGUAAAAAAAAAUAGUCAAAUCUAUUUUAAUCUAUUAAAUUUUGAUGCGAGUAUCCAUUCAAUAAUGUAUUCAUAAAAUUAAAGAAAUUGAUUUAAUCCAAUUACUUUAUUUUUUAUAUUUUUGUAAUUGAUAAUUUACAGAUAAAUAGUACAGGAAUGCUGUCAACAUCUACUUUUGAAUCGGAUAUUUUAAAGGUUGCAGUAAGCUUUCUGUUUUCAAAUAAGGGAAGAUCCAUCUCCAAUCAAUACGGGGAUGAACCUUUUCCUAAUUCCAAUAAUGAUAAAUUGACAAUUGAUUUUAUAUAGAGUAUCAAACGGCAAUGUAAAUGGACUUAUAAGCAAGAACAAGAACAUUAUAAUUUCAUGUAAACAAUAAAUUGAGUUAACUAAUAAAUAAAGGUAUACAGCAGAGUACAUCUAAGCAUUGAGCAUUUUAUGUCGAAUUCUGACCUGAUAUUGACGAGACAUAUUGGUGAAUCAAAACCUAAACUUCUAAGAUGAUAAAAUUACAGAUGAAAAGAACUAAACUAGUAUAAUACAAUUGACCUCAUCUUUGAGGCUGAUCAGCAGUGUGGUUGCUUGUUGUAGAUGAUGAUGCUGUCCUACCAUUCAAUAUUCCAUUGUCCAUAGGUGGGGAGGAUCCCCACUUACCCUCUGAUUCACUUGGUUCUAUCACUUUCACAGAUCC